rnacentral:rRNA from 1 species
AGCAGCAGCCGCGGGAAUACAGAGGGUGCGAGCGUUAAUCGGAUUUACUGGGCGUAAAGCGUGCGUAGGCGGCUUCUUAAGUCGGAUGUGAAAUCCCUGAGCUUAACUUAGGAAUUGCAUUCGAUACUGGGAAGCUAGAGUAUGGGAGAGGAUGGUAGAAUUCCAGGUGUAGCGGUGAAAUGCGUAGAGAUCUGGAGGAAUACCGAUGGCGAAGGCAGCCAUCUGGCCUAAUACUGACGCUGAGGUACGAAAGCAUGGGGAGCAAACAGGAUUAGAGACCCCCGUAGUCCCUGUCUCUUAUAC